GUGGCUUUUAAGGGCUUGAAGUAUGGUGCAAGGGUGAGAGAGCUGGAAGUGCUCAGGUUAAAGGAGACUCAGGCACUUAUCUAUGUGUAUGAAUAUUUGAUGGAUUGAAGAAGGACCCACUUCUCACAGUACUGGAACAGAUGGUCCAGAGGGGCUGAGGAGUCUUUAGUCUAGCAUACAUGAGAUCUGACGCAUCCAGAGAGUACUGCAACCUCAAUGACCAGAGUGUUGGACUGAUGAUUUCCAGAGGUCCCUUCUAGCCUCAGCAACAGCAGCUAGUCUCCAGUUCCUCAAGAACUGCUCCAACAUAGGUCAUUGGACUGCUCUAAUGACUUAUGGGACCACAGAUCCUGCCAGAAAACCUAUUCCUUCAUGGCAUCCUCUCCACAGGAGGCACAUCCUGCCAAGAUCAUACUCCAGCUUGAGUUCUUCAUGUGCUGCAGCUCUGUUCGAGUCAUUCAUACCUGCUCUGCCACAGAAUCCUCCAUGCACUGCAGGUGGAUUUCUGCUCUACCAUGGAUCUCCAUGGGCUGCAGGGGCACAGCUGCCUCAACAAAGUUUUCCCCAGGAUCUACACCAUAUGCCCCUCCUUCUGCACGGACCUUGGUGUCUGCAGAGCUGUUUGUCUCACAUAUGUUCACUGCUCUCUCUCACAGCUGCUGUGGCUGUGGUUUUCUCCAUGUUGAGUAUGUUAUCACCAGCUUCCAACACUACAGAUCAGCACACCUUUGGCCAGCCACAGGCUAGUCCUGGAGUCAGUCAGCUCUGACAUGGGGGCAGCCUCUGGUGUCUUCUCACAACAUCAUCCUUGCAGCCCUAUGCACUUCCCUGCUACCAUACCCCUGCCACAUACACAAAGUACAGUCUAAUUCUAAGAUUCUGUAAGUACUUGAAAAAAAUCAAAGUUCAGCAUAUGUGUGAGUCCUUAUCUAUUCUAAAAGCAAAACCAAUCUCCCCAAAAGAUGCACAUAUUGCAUAUUUUUGAAAGGUAAACCAAUCACUUAUGGAGUUCUUUAAAUUAAAUCCAUUAUUUUGUCUUUUAAAACUUUUUAAUAAAUAUCUUAUAGAGAUACUUAUAGAGAAGAGGAUGCUAUAUAAAUUAACUACUUAUCAAUGAGCCUAAUUCAAAAAGUUAGUUUCAGACCUUAACCUGCAUGAGUAUUUGCAUCAACCUCUGUAAUAACUUUUUUUCAGAAAUGGUAGAUUUGAGUUCUGAGGUUUGUUCCUUAGAGCUCAACCAGCCUGAUACCCUGAUCCAAACCUCCCAGACUGCAGUCUAUUUGACUUGAGGUUUGCUGGUGAAUGGACACUACAUGUUUGGGGGAAGACAUAAUGUGCCAGCACCAGGCACAUUUGCCUUUAGUGCUGCUGCAGCUGCUGGCACUGAACCCCUCACUCACCUCAAGAAUCAAAAUCACAGAGAGUUAGGGUUGGAAGGGACCUCUGGAGCCUACUCCAACCCGCCCACCUGCUCAUGCCAGUCCUGUCAUAGCUGAAAUUCAGGCAGCAUAUAGUAGCAUUCUCAUCCUAGUGGCUGGAGAUUAAAAGUUCCCAAUUUGCUCCAGUAGCAGACACCAGGCCAGGUGUGCCUACAACCCCUGCAAGCUUCUGACUCCAGUCUGCCUCUAGUAGCUGGCACCAAAUUUCCCUCACACACGCAAGUCUUGUGGUCAGUUACUCCACAUUGCUAGAGAAGAGAGAGUAAGGGUACAGUGAGUGAUAGUUAAGAACAUAUUCAGUGAGAAGAAAGAAAAGCUUUCAUGUGAAGAUAUAAAAAGAAAGGACAGACUGUGCUGAUCAGUUGUGGGGUUCAGCCAGACAAGUAUAUGAAUGAAACCUAUAUUACAGUUCACCCACUUGGACACAUUUCCUUCUACCCUCUGAUUUGUUCCUCCCUGCUUCUCCUA